rnacentral:sRNA from 1 species
UUCCAGGGAACAAAGAAUCGGCCUGGCAGUGCCCUGGAGAAGGAGGUGGAGAGCAUGGGGGCCCAUCUUAAUGCCUACAGCACCCGGGAGCACACAGCUUACUACAUCAAGGCGCUGUCCAAGGAUCUGCCGAAAGCUGUGGAGCUCCUGGGUGACAUUGUGCAGAACUGUAGUCUGGAAGACUCACAGAUUGAGAAGGAACGUGAUGUGAUCCUGCGGGAGAUGCAGGAGAAUGAUGCAUCUAUGCGAGAUGUGGUCUUUAACUACCUGCAUGCCACAGCAUUCCAGGGCACACCUCUAGCCCAGGCUGUGGAGGGGCCCAGUGAGAAUGUCAGGAAGCUGUCUCGUGCAGACUUGACUGAGUACCUCAGCACACAUUACAAGGCCCCUCGAAUGGUGCUGGCAGCAGCUGGAGGAGUGGAGCACCAGCAACUGUUAGACCUCGCCCAGAAGCACCUCGGUGGCAUCCCGUGGACG